GAGCCUUUUCAUUCCUCUUCCUUUCAUAUUUUUUCUUCUUCACUGCUAGUGCUUCAAGGGGAGAUAUCCACCACAGAGUUUUAGGUUCAAGCAAAUCUUUGUAUUUUCCCAAACCAUAUAGAGAGGUUUCCUUAUAAUAUGAUUAUUUUUUGUGUGUGGAUCUUAACUUUAUCAUAACCUUAAGUAGGCAUGCCAGCCAUAACGAUUGUAUUGUCCUUCCAGGUCUAGAAGGUCUGUGUUUUGUAGUGUACACCAUUCCUUGAUCCAGGAGAGAUAGGCCGCUGCAUGAGACCUGUAGCAGACUUGGAGAACGUGGUUCAGAGUUUUGGGCAUCUGGCACCCGCCGCGACAUAGCCGGUCAGCUCUCCGCCCCCUGGCCAAGCGGGACCUGGUUGGAAGCGCAUUGAUGUGCAUCUGAAUGGAGUUACGAUAGUCCUUGCCUGACAGGAACUUAGUGCAGCCGUAGACCCAGUUGUGCUGGCUAUGGGUUUUCCCAGACUCCUUCAAUGCACAGCCAUCCACCGAUUGGUACAGGAGACUGGCCCAUCGGCGUUUUUGUGCCUGAGCUGGGAACAGGCAGUUCCCCCUCUCUAGUAUCCGCCCCUCUAACAGAGAGAGCUCCCACCUCAGAAAGGUCCCAGAUGUAGACUGCUCCGUCCUUACCAGUGGCAGUCGUAGGAGCUGAUCCCUACAAAGUCGUAGCAUCAUCCAGCGCAUCGCCGGAAUUCCUAGGCCUCUGUCAUUGACCUUAGUGUGGAAGUACGCGACAGGUGUACUAUCCGGGAGACCUAGCCACUUUCUCACUGCCGUCCUCACACAGCGGUCCACUCUGUUGAGCAGCCCCACUGUGGUUGAGCCCAUAGAGAGCUGAUGGUAUAGCGACGGCAUGAAAGCCAAACAUCCAUUGCUGAGGCUUCAAGGCAGCUUUGCCGAUGGUGUCCAGGAGCUCCCUGAGAUGGUCCAGAGGCCGAGUUGCCAUGCAUCCUUCUGGCGUGAAGGGCACGGCCAGGUAGUGCCACUGGUCCGACUGUUUGAGAGCUUGCAAUGGUUUGCUGUUACAGGUGAAUACCUGCCGCAGGUUCACCACUGUUUUCUUCUCCUUGGGGAUGACUUCCAAGGAUACUGUCAAGCUCUUCCCAGAGUUUACAGUGAGGCCACAUAGUGCUAGAUGUCUACCCACUAUGCCGAUGGUAGUUUGUAGCCCUACUGGUGUAGACGCCACAAACACCAGGUCGUCUGCAAAGGCUACGCCGUUCACUGUCAUGCCUUCUCCCAGGUCGGCCCCUAACUCCUUCGGUAUCUUCCGGAGGAGACGGUCCAUGAUCAUAUUAAAUAUGCAGGGUGACAUGGGGUCACCCUGCUUCACCCCACACCUGGGGUGAAAUUCCUGGGAGGUCGCGCCACCGCACGAAAGUACGGUGGUACUCCGGUCAUAGACAUCACUUAUAUAGUGUGUCAUUGGGUCGGGGAUCCCCAUCAUCUGAAGGGUUUCCUUGAUGGUACUAUGGGCCACAGAGUCAAACACUUUCGCCACGUCCAGGGAUGCCAAGUACAAUGGUUUCGACCGCUGCUUGUGGUUCCGGAGUACCAUAUCCAGGAGGAAGAUGUUUUCGGAACACCCAUCGAACUGCUGGAAGGCCCGUUGUCUAGGGUCUAGGUUGACUUCCCGAGUCAACCGCGCAGCCAGGACCUUGUGGAAGACUCUGGUCAAUACUGGGGAGACAGUUAUGGGGCGGAAGUCUCCCGGAUCUUGGGCACGAUCUUUUUUGGGAAUCAGUGUUGUUCGAGUCCCCAGCAACGACUGGGGGCAUUUCCCACAUACCAUAAUUAGGUUGAAGAGCCGCUCCAGCGCACCUAGAGGCAGCUUCUUCACCUGUUCGACAGUCAUUCCGUCAGGUCCUGGCGCCGUUGAGUAGCAAAUAUUCAAACGAGAACCUUGAAGGCCGAAGUGGAGAAGGGUUCCAUGUGAACAGCAGUUGAACAUGGGUCGGUCGGUCCUAACCAAUUCCUGGUAGGCCUGCUGGCGCCUAUGGGCUUUUAUCGCCUCAGCUGUUCUCUCUGGGAAUUUUUCCAUCAGGGCUAGGUUCAUAUGGCAUGCCCCCUAGGUUAGGAGUCUAGCCUCUCUUGCCAAGCAGUGCUGUUUCCUCAGGGGUCCAUCUCCUUUUCACCUGAUGAGUGUUGUGCGUCAUACCAAUCUGGGUGGGCUCGUCGGUGAUGGACACCACGUCCGGUCUUGGUGUUAAAGGCUUUCUCGCAAUCUUGGUGUUCGCAUACGAAAACUGGUUGUUCCACUGCAGGAACUACACCAGGUCCAGCAGCACAGGAGCUGCUCCUCACCUGGGUGGUUCGGUCAGAUGACCCGCCACCUCUCUUUGUGUUUCCGCAACGAUUCAUUCCCGCAAGGGGUCUGGGUGAGGAUGAGCUGAACCUCUCUGGCAAGGACCCAGAGGUUCAGAUAAGCCUUCCCUGUUAGCCGCCUAAAGACGUUGCCGCCUAAAGACAUUGCCCGACUCUCACCACGAGGAGGUAGGGAUAGAUUGAUCAGUAUAACAUCACAGAUCAUCAGCUGCCUUUUUUUUUAUCAUCAUCGGGACGCCACGCCCCUCAGACAUUGCUUCUGAUUAACUGCAGAAGUACGGAUUUUUUAUACAAGCAGUCCCGUGCCAGCCUGGGCAAUUUCCUGGGCGCUCACAAACCAGCACUGACGGUUGCCGUUGUCUUGUUAAAGAUACUAUGAGCAUAGAUGCCACCGAUCAACACCCGAGACGAGAGAACCUUGAGAUCUUGUUUCCGGACAAUACCCAGGGCCAACAGGUCCUCCGCCGAGCGAUCACUCCACACUCCUCUGCAGGAGAGCGUUGCAGAUGUGGUGCUCAGGUCUUCCACUUGGUAGCGCUCUUUUACCAACUCCAGGAGACUGGUGUUCCCUGCGUAAUACUGGACUUUCUGGGCGUGAGCCCUCCGCAGGUCUGCCUGCUCGCCCACCACCUGGGCGUCGAUUAUAUGUGCGGUUCGUCCAAUACUCGCUACUAUGUCAGGUUUCCUCAAACCUCCUGAUGUUCGAAAGUGAGGCUCCAAAUCCACAUGAUACCCCUGUCUCCAAAGUCCUUUAGCGAUAUAUUUUACUACAGCAUUAUGCCGGCGGACCCUAGCCGCAUGAGACCUGUAGCAGACUUGGAGAACGGUGGUACUCCAGUCAUAGACAUCACUUAUAUCGUGUGUCAUUGGGUUGGGGAUCCCCAUCUGAAGGGUUUCCUUGAUGGUACUAUGGGCCACAGAGUCGAAUGCUUUCGCCACAUCCAGGGAUGCUUAAUACAACGGUUUCGACCGUUGCUUGUGGUACCGAAGUACCAUGUCCAGGAGAAAGAUGUUUUCGGAACACCCAUCGAACUGCUGGAAGGCCCGUUGUCUGGGAUCUAGGUCGACUUCUCUAGUCAACUGCGCAGCCAGAACAUUGUGGAAGACUCUGGUCAGUACUGGGGAGGCAGUUAUGGGGCGGAAGUCUCCCGGAUCUUGGGCAUGAUCUGUUUUGGGAAUCAGUGUUGUUCGAGUCCCCAGCAACGACUGGGGGCAUUUCCCACAUACCAUUAUUAGGUUGAAGAGCCGUUCCACAGCGCCUAGAGGCAGCUUCUUCACCUGUUCCACGGUCAUUCUGUCAGGUCCUGGCGCCGUUGAGACCGAUGAUAUGGCUCUCUUAAUCUCAGCAGCCAUCAUGGGUUCCCAUAUGGAUGUUAUAACAUCUCUCCUGGGGCCAGGGCCAGGUAAGCAGUCCGGAGCCCUGGUCAUUAGCUUUUCGCAGUACGGAAAGAGGCUCGCGUCAUUUUCUAUUGGCACGUCCCUGUUCUUAUCAAGAGCCCACUUAAUACAUUUAGUGGGACUCUUAUGCCAUAGAUGUUGGAAUUUGGCAUAUUGCUCUCGCCUCUUCUGCCUAUUAGACGUCCGUUGUUCUUGGCUACUUCGUUCCCCUCUCUGCGCCUUCCAGGGUCGUGUACCCUGCAUGUCCCGCACAACCAGGGACAGCUCUUCAUACACGUCGGUGAGCGUCCUCGACCCGACGGUGGGACUCAGCCUUUCCAAUCGCACAAGGUGUUCCGUGGUGGUUGGCAUUCUGGGGAGCUGCUGCAGGUGUUGUAUCAGCCUGUCACACAACUGGGUAUUCGAAGCUUCCACCACAGGUUGAGGGGCUGGUCCGUCUACCACCUCUAGCUGUUCCUGGGUAUACGUCGCAACCAAUUCCCGGUAGGCCUGCUGGCGCCUAUGGGCUUUUAUUGCCUCAGCUGUUCUCUCUGGGAAUUUCUCCAUCAGGGCUAGGUUCAUAUGGCAUGCCCCUGAGGUGAGGAGUCUGGCCUCCUCUCUAGCCAGCAGUGCUGUUUCCUCAGGGGUCCAUCUCCUUUUCACCUGAUGCGUGUUCUGUUGUGCAUCAUACCAAUCUGGGUGGGCUCGUCGGUGAUGGACACCGCGCCCGGUCUUGGUGUUAAAGGCUCUCUCGCAAUCUGGGUGUUCGCAUACGAAAACUGGGAUUUCCACCGCAGGAACUACACCAGGCCCAGCAGCACGGGAGCUGCUCCUCACCUGGGUGGUUCGGUCAGAUGACCCGCCACCUCUCUUUGCAUUGCCGCAAGGAUUCAUAUCCGCUAGGGAUCUGGGUGAGGAUGAACUGAACCUCUCUGGCAAGGACCCAGAGGUUCAGAGUAAGCCUUCCCUGUUAGCCGCCUAAAGACGUUACCGCCUAAAGACGUUGCCCAACUCUCACCACGAGGAGGUAGGGAUAGGCACGUGGAAAAGACCACGAAAAUCGAUCAGUAGAACAUCACAGAUCAUCAGCUGCCAUUUUCCUUAAGAGAGUCAUAGUUACUCCCGCCGUUUACCCGCGCUUCAUUGAUUUUCUUCACUUUGACAUUCAGAGCACUGGGCAGAAAUCACAUCGCGUCAACACCCGCCGCGGGCCUUCGCAAUGCUUUGUUUUAAUUAAACAGUCGGAUUCCUCUGGUCUGCACCAGUUCUAAGUCAACUGCUAGUCACCGACCGAGGCGGGACAAGGCAUUAGGAUAUAUAUUUUUAAAAAAAUUGUUUGGGUGGGUGACUAGUUUAUUUUGUAUUAUGGUGUGUUUUGUAGCACUAGUUUUUAAUCCUGCUCUCUUCUAUCUGUUUGGAUGGAGGCUGUUUGUUUGACAAUGCUGUAAGCAUACAGCCCUCUGAUCACAACCCAUGGUGAUGGAGCCUGGAGAUAUUUCUUUCCUAUUAUUCCUAAAGGCAACAGUUCUUUUAUGACACUCUUACUGAAGUUACAUGUAACUUGAAGUUUCUGUUGCACAGUGCCUGUAGACUACUGUAACACCCUUGUAUUGCUUCAGGGUCUCAGAUGUAUGGCAUCCACCUCUGCAGAGUCUGUCAAGUCUUCUGCCUCUGGCUAGACAUUUUCAUAUUGGGAGCACAUUGAUCCAGAGUUUUAUGGAAUUAAAGUAAUCCCUUCCUGACAGAAAAAACGUGCAACCAUGCCUCUUGGUUUGGUGUUUUUUAUUCUUCUUCUAAUCCCCACCAUCAAUGUGCUCCCCUGCUUCAUCAAACCAUCUUUCACUCAGGGCCCCUGUUGUAUGCAGGAAGCUUCCUCUGUUUCUGAAGUGAUGUUCCAUUACCUUCAGUUCCUUUGCCAGGAAGUUCCCAGCUAAGGACUGCUCGCCGACCUGCUUAAAGGCAAUUUAUGAAGGUGUUCUCUAUGCAGGCUCCGUAUGCUCCAUCUCAGGCAUUGCAAACAGGGACCUUCAUCAUUUACCUUGAUGUGAAACUACGCCACAAGUCUGGAUGCCGGGAGACCAAGCCAGGUUCUACUUGUCCUUGAGCAGUGGUCCAUGCAGGCUGGCAGAAGCUCAACUGCACGCCACUGAAGUGUCGAGCCCAGCUCGGACAAGGUGAUGAUGUACCCAGAAUAAUACCUUUAUUGUCAUCAUAUAACCUGUGUACAAUGAAAUUAAAUGAGCCUCCCUCCUCCCUCCAACACUCAAUCUCGUUACACUCUGUGUGCUUAUCGAACAAAACACCACCUCGCAAGUCAAUUUUGCUAUGUUAUUUUCCGUCCCACAGCCUAACAGCCCACGGAUAGAAGCAAUUUUUGAGCCUGUUGGUACAACUGAUUAUACUUCUAUAUCUCCUGCCCGAGUUUAGUAGACCACCUGAGUUAUCUUGAUUUUCCAUGUGAGGUCCUCACUAAGGUAAACUCCCAGGAAUUUAAAGCAGGGGACUCUCUCCACACAGCACCCCCCCCAUAUACAAUGGGGCAGGUUCCCCUCUCUUCCUCCGGAAGUCCAACAGCAUCUCCUUUGUCUUACUAAUAUUUAGGUGCAAGUUAUUCUCUGAGCACCUAACCAAGAUUUGUUUGUUCAUUAAUAGGCUGCCACUGGAGUGGAUAUUGAGAUUGGCCCUAGGUUUCCUCUGCUGGAUGUAUCCAUACCUGUGCCAGAAUGUUCCUGUACUUCACGUGGAUCUGGAGCUUGGCGGUCAUGAAUUCUCACCGGAGCAGCAGAAGUUUCUGCCGUGAUUGGACUUAUUGUUUUGCAGCAAACGGUGACACAUAUAAUGUUGGAUCUGCAUGCAGAUAACCAGAACACGGGCAUGGAGGCUUUCUGUGAUGUUUCAAGUUGUUAAAUAAAAAUGAUUUGUGUAUUAGAAUAUAUAUUUCAGGUAAGUCUAGCUAAAUAAGAUGGUGCAUGCUUUAUAUCAAGGUUGUGCCAAGGUAGCCAGAUUUGAACAUGAAUCGUGGCGGACCAGAGGUGGUUCCAAGGACUUGCAGGGGGUGGCACCACCUACUGGUAAUUUUUGUUACAAUGAUAACUGAGAUUGCUUCCUUGCAUAUUUUUGCAUUGCUGUUGUGGGUUUUUCUUGCAAGCUGAGGAACAGAUUCACCGCAUAACUCCACUCCUUCUAGACCCCGAGGAACUUGCGGAAGAUUGGGCGUGUAGAUUGUUAGGGUGAACUAGAAGGGGUGGGUUGUGUUGAACCAAAGGUGAACUGUUCUGGAAGCUCUGCAAACACCAUUUUGGUAGUCAAGGUAACCCCACAAUUAAUAGGUAGUUGUUGUAGUGAUGAGCUCCUAUAAGCUAAUUGGCUUGUUUUGAUGCUAUCCUUAACUGGGGGCUUCGGGUGCAUGGAGUCCAGAAAGAGGAGCUAGCUGUAAGACUUUGGUAUUUGCCACCUAUGCCCCCAUCUGGUCAAGUGGAGUGAUGGGAAGUCCUGGCCGAAGUGAAGAAUGCUGCUUUGUGUACAAAGAUGCAUGAACGUUUGCUUGGAUGCAGACAAGCCAACUCCUUGCUGAGGUGUCUGUCCUGCAACUGUAAAGGGUGGGAGGCCUGGCAGACUGAUUUGCUGUAAUGAAGCUUUUAAUAAAGCACUAGAACUGA